UAUCACACCUAUAGAGUUGGCGAGUGAAGCCACAAAAAAAUUAAAAAAAAAACUAAUUUAUAUAAACUGUCAAAAAUUUUAUAUAAUCUGUCAAAUUUCGAGCUCGUUUUCCAGGGGCGAACUCACUCUUAUUGGUGAUGACAAGGCGAUGCAAUCAUUGACCGCCAAUGUUUCAGCUACUCUUGAUGAUUUUAAAACAAUUUUCAGUCUGUUUUUAGUUUAGGAAAAAAACAGUUUAAAAUUCGUAUAUAAUAAUGAUGAAAAAUAGCAUUUCUACGGAAGUCUCUCACGAGACCUGUUACAUUUCUGUUGGCGCCCCUUGAGUGAACAAUAUAUCUGCACUCCGACCCUUUACCAAUACAUGUGCAUUUGUACAACUCACACUAAUAAAAAGCGGCUUCACUUAUUUGGAUAAACACCCCUUCCUGUACUUCUUAUUCAAUGGUCUAUACAUUCAUGAUUGACAUUCUACAUUCUGAAAACAACACGAAGAAGGAGGACAAGAUGGCAGCAACUUGGUACUUCUAACAGAAUAACCAGAUUCUUUAUUUGAGCAUCAACAGGCGUCCGCAACAAUACUUCCAAAAAAAUAGAUUUUCCAUCAUUUUACAUAGAUAAAAAAUCAAAAAUUAGAAAAUAUAUGGUGUUUUAUAGCCUCAUUUUUGGCAUGUCCAAACAAAAUUUCAAACGCAAAAAUCUUUAUUUGACCUAAUCCAGAAAAACUAAGUACGCCAUCGUGUUCAGCAUACUCGAAUUAUCUUUAGUAGAUAUGAGAGCCCUCUGUUGGAAAAAAAGUUCCAUUUUCGAACACAGUGUUAUUUAACGUUGGCAAAAAAAAAUAUAUAAAUAACAAAGAAAAUAAAAUAGUUAAAACAUUAAAAGAAAAGGAUUGCUUCUAUGUAAAAGCAGAUAAAUUAGCAAUAAAUUAGUUAUUUUAGACAAAAUGGAUUAUGAAGAUAGAAUGACAAAAUUAAUUGAUGAUGGUUCGUACAAACGAUUAACAAAAAUGAUUAAAAUAUCUGCAGACAUUAAAAAGGAAGUGAGUGAGACUUUUGGCUAUCUUUUUAAACGAACGUUGCACGUAUCAAACCCCGAAAUACCAAAAUUGUUCGUCUUGCCAAAGAUACACAAGGCAGGAAAGAAGAUGAGACCAAUAGUUUCAAACAUUAAGGGGGGGUUUCCAUAGCAUUUUAAUGGAAGAUGGUUGACUAAUUGUUGUAUAACUUUUGCAGUUUAUAAGAUAAUCUUAUGAAACGUACUUUUUUGAAAAGGUAAUAAACGUACGAACAUUUCUUGUGCGAUAUU